rnacentral:rRNA from 1 species
AACAAAUAUUAAAGGCAAUGCCUGCCCAGUGAACAAUUAAACGGCCGCGGUACCCUAACCGUGCAAAGGUAGCAUAAUCAUUUGUCUAUUAACUGUAGACCUGUAUGAAAGGCAAAAUGAGGGUUUAACUGUCUCUUAUGAUAAAUCUAUUAAACUGAUCUCCCAGUAAAAAAGCUGUGAUACUCCCAUAAGACCAGAAGACCCUGUGAAGCUUUAACUAAACUAUUAAACCAAAUAAUAACUACUUUAGGUUGGGGCGACCUUGGAAAAAAAAAGAACUUCCAACAUAACAAAUAUCACCAAGGCCUACAAGCCAAUUAACGACCCAGUAACACUGAUAAUCGAACUAAGUUACUCCAGGGAUAACAGCGCCAUCUUCUUCAAGAGCCCAUAUCAAAAAGAAGGUUUACGACCUCGAUGUUGGAUCAGGACACCCCAAUGGUGCAACCGCUAUUAAAGGUUCGUUUGUUCAACGAUUAAUGUCCU